rnacentral:rRNA from 1 species
UGGCCAGACUCCUACGGGAGGCAGCAGUGGGGAAUAUUGCACAAUGGGGGAAACCCUGAUGCAGCAACGCCGUGUGAGUGAAGAAGUCAUUCGUGAUGUAAAGCUCUAUCAGCAGGGAAGAAAAUGACGGUACCUGAGUAAGAAGCCGCGGCUAACUACGUGCCAGCAGCCGCGGUAAUACGUAGGGGGCAAGCGUUAUCCGGAUUUACUGGGUGUAAAGGGAGCGUAGACGGCAGCGCAAGUCUGGAGUGAAAUGCCGGGGCCCAACCCCGGAACUGCUUUGGAAACUGUGCAGCUCGAGUGCAGGAGAGGUAAGCGGAAUUCCUAGUGUAGCGGUGAAAUGCGUAGAUAUUAGGAAGAACACCAGUGGCGAAGGCGGCUUGCUGGACAGUAACUGACGUUGAGGCUCGAAAGCGUGGGGAGCAAACAGGAUUAGAUACCCCGGUAUUA